rnacentral:sRNA from 1 species
CUGAUCGUCAAAGGGGAGUAGCGUUGGAAAAGAACCUCUUUUUCAAAAUAAAGUCGUCAGUACAUGGAGGAAUCCAUCGGCUUUAUUAGCAUAUAUUGCU